GUUUUGGACAUUUCUGAUGACAUAUGCAUAUACACUCUCUAAUAUUUAAUCACUACAAACAGUGAAGUCUCUGCCUGAGCUCCUCUUAUGGAUGUAAACAUCUGUCUGUGGAGGAGAAUCCCUCCUCUAACAGGAUGAAAGUGUAAAAAAAAGACAGUUCUGUGUAUUUUACAUAUGGAUAGACUACCACUGCUGCCGUUUGAGAAAGGAAUAACAAGGGGUUCCUCAUUGUCAGAAGUCAGUCUGUUUAGCUACGUUAGCUAAUGAGCUCUUCCAAGUGAUGGGUCGUUAAUUUCUGUGUGUACAGUAGUUCACAUUCUGGUUAGAUUAGCGCUGUAUCUGAAGUCAUAAAUCUAAUCUAAAUGGGUCCAUUGUCAGGUAAACAGUAGCAACAGUUUAAAUUAGUCUUCAUUGGCUGUAUGCUGCUGCCGAUGUAAGGCUAGUGGGUGAAAAAUAGUUUUAUUUUAUGUGUAUGAGCUUUCUUUCUUUCUAACCCAAGUUCAUCUUUUUGUCACUUAGUGUAUCCAGCUGAACAACAACCAGCCUGGUAAUAACUGGCAGGUAGUGGGUAAAAGAAAAAGUCCUGUUUUACCUUCCAUGUGUCCAAGAACUAUGAAUUACAGCCAAUCAACAUCCAAUUACAGCACAUCUAUAGAUAUUAAUUUGGGUCCUCUAAUGGAAGUGUAUGCUAUUUAGCUGUUUGUUUUUCAGUAUUAAAGUUCUGUUUUACCUUUACUUCUUCAGAAAGAUCAUCCGACAGCUGUGAUGUUCUGCCAUUUUAACUGUUCUUCCUUAUACUCCUAUACCUUACCCUUCGUCUGAAAAACAAAUAGAUAAAUAGCAUCAAAAGAUGACAGAAUUCCCCUAAUUGAACUAAGUAUGAGUUUGUUCGGUUGUUAAGUUCAGAUAUAAAAAGUCUUACUCCACCUUUAUCAUAUACAUCUGAGAUCUUCAACAAUGGAACAAGUGCCAUUCUAGUUUGGCAACAUCCAAGAGGGAACAAUAAGAAUCCAUGAAAUAUGAGGAAAUGUCAAAUGUGAACGCUAAAUGUAAACGGUGAAAUGCAGAGUCGUUACGUAUGAAUGUAACCCUGAUCCCUAACUCUACUUUAUUAGAUGUUUUAAUGUGUUUUCCUCUUUCCAGGCAACAACUGGCAUCCAUUUCUUUCCCUUAAAUAUGAAAAUCCAUUUGCAGUGUUGAGGUUUGUCCAACAUUG